rnacentral:rRNA from 1 species
UACGUAGGGUGCAAGCGUUGUCCGGAAUUAUUGGGCGUAAAGAGCUUGUAGGCGGUUUGUCGCGUCUGCUGUGAAAUUUCGGGGCUCAACCCCGAACUUGCAGUGGGUACGGGCAGGCUAGAGUGUGGUAGGGGAGACUGGAAUUCCUGGUGUAGCGGUGAAAUGCGCAGAUAUCAGGAGGAACACCGAUGGCGAAGGCAGGUCUCUGGGCCACUACUGACGCUGAGAAGCGGAAGCAUGGGGAGCGAACAGG